CCAUUCUGCUAGAUUCAGUAAUAUACAGACUUUCUUCCAAGAAAAGUUAUAUGAUAUCAGGCAAGUGUCUAUUGAUUUUCUGGUGAUGCUGAAGGAAGGAGAGCAGCAAUAAAUCUGUAUAACAGUUGCAGAGUGGCUUUCUAACUAAGUGGUUUGGAACUUGUAGCAAAAAAUUACUAAUACUUAAUAUCUAUAAAUAACCUUAUUUCUUUGGGUUUUUUGAAUGUUGUUGUUUCUACCUUUAAUAUCUUCAUUGAUUGCUUUAGCUGUUCUAGGGUGGUUUACAUAUGCGUAUGGACAAUUAUUUCAUUAGCUUCAACAUGUGCUGCAUUUAUGCAGUACCACAAAAUUGUAAAGUUUCUUAAAGUUGUAAAAUAUACAUGGCAUUUACAUAACCCAAAAGGUAAAAGACACUAAUUUGUUUGAAAUUGUCAUUUAAAUAUUUCAUUCACUCACAUUUAGAUUUAUUUAACAUUUAAAAGAAUAGUUUACUUUGCUGAUAUUUUUUCCCUGUUCUUACCCCUACAGUUACCACAAUCUGUAUUUCAGCCAUUAUAUUCACCUUUUAUUUGAGUGUUUUCACAAACUACUGCUUUUUGUAGUAUCUGUCUUAGAUUCCUGCAAUCAGUUGGGAUUUUUCUUGAAUGCCUAAGAAAUUCUGUUUAUCGUAAUGUUUACUGUUUCACCAUUGUGUAUGUGCCAAGUAUUUUGCAGAGCCAAAUGCAACAACUUUCAUUCAAACUGAAGCAUUGAACUGCCCCGUGCUGUGAUUGGGAGGACCACCCUUGUCUCAGCUCUCUAGUCAAGCCUGUGCUUGACUUUCCCUCUGUGCUUGUACAAGUGGUCUGUCCUUGAGCUUGUGUGACAUGAUCUCUAGUCCUGGCACUAAAUACAUCCUGGACCCUGCAAACAAGCUGACGGAAGUACUGAAGUGGGUGCCAUGCCUUGUCCCACCAAGGAUGAGUCGCAAGAAAAGGGCUGAAGCUUAUUUCAGAGCCCAUCCCCCUAGGAAAGGACAGAUGGAGAUAGGUGGGUACAAAGUCCUGGAGCAAAAGCUUGGUGGAAAAGUUCUGAGCCAGCCAGGGUGCUGACAUAAGGUGCCUGAGGUUAACCUGAUGCUGGGACAUCACACUGAAGCGUGGAAAUGGGUCUGAGUGACCAGGCUGCCUUCCUCUCUGCUGGGACACUUGGGCACCAACCCUGCGAGAAAGAGUAAUAGGCAUCACUGGCAUCACUGACACCAGGAGUGGUGGAUCAUUUCUCUACUUUGGCAGGGAGCUGCCAGUUGUAAACUUCCCUGCGGCUACAAAGACCGGUUGACUGAUGUUCAACCUCAGAGACUCAGAUCUGGGAUAGCAUGCAGCAAUGAACUUCGUACCUGAAAUUCUCCAUGUGAAUACAAAUAAGGCUGUUAUAAGUCACCAUUGAAGAACAGUUGGAUGGUAAUUGCAAGUAUUAAUAGACUUUGGAGAAGGAAAUUUUCAAAAGUGCUGAAUUGUGACCUCUGUGCAUUGGAACCCAUGGAAGCUUUAUUGCUUUAGCACUUUUUACCACAGUGUACCUUCUAGGUGACCAGUCUUUGGCUUUGACAGGCAAAAUGUGCAUCAGAUACCCUUCAGAGCUAAGGUAUUCCAAUGUGGCACAGAGAAGGAUAUCACUUGCUGAGUUAUGGAGGUUUCACCAUUGUGGUGGUAGUUUGUGUCUUGGACAUUUUAUCUGUGUGCAAUCAGAGAAAAAAAAAACUCUCUAAAUUGGACUGCAAGUCUACAUCUGCCAAGAACUUCUGCUCUUUUGUGAAUCCUGCUGCAAACGAUGACUCCUGUGGAUCAGAGUCUGGGGAACUGACAUUGGGAUACUCUGGCCAGGCUGUCUGUGCUUGACUGCAGGCCACAAGGAGCAGCGAGGGACAAUGGCACAAGUCUGGACAGAGUCAUAAUCCCACUACAGGCUGUCCUAGAGAGGUCUUGGAGUGCAUGGCCUGGUUCCUUCUGAAUACAGAUAAAGGAGAAAGCCGCUCCAGGAGGGCACCUGAUGCAUUCCAACAGCUAAUUGGCAUUCAGUCCACAGGACGAACUGCAGUUAACUCCAGAUGGAAAGCAAGUUUGACUGUCCAGAGCACGUGAAGUAUAGCUCCUUCGUCCUUUCUGUCCCCCUACAAGGAUAACAACAUUUCAGCCUCUGUCUCCAAAGCAACUGAAUUUUAAUUGACUCAACUGCAAUAUCCACACAGGCAGGGGAUGGCAGAACUUUCAAAAGAUUGUGGAAAUUGGGCACCAGCAUCAUUUUCAUCUAGCCAUUAGGUGAAAUAUCAAACCUCCUUACCUGUCCCUGGAAAUAGAUUCUUCGCUCCCACACUAAACUUCUGCAGGAAAAGUAUUAUUGUCCAAGUCAUGAUAACUCAGAAUAAGCAGUGCGUAAGGACAGUCUAAAUCAACUUCCAUUCGCCUGCCGUUCAGCGCUUUGGGACUCUUCGUCAGCAAGCUCCUUCUGACAGCUAUUUAUAGCUCAACAUUUCAGCAAGAUAAUUGCAGUGUACAUAGAGGCAGGGAGGCAGCACCAGUUAGAACUCUCCUACCCUUUCCAGCAACAUCUUGGCCUAUAUCCCGCCUACAUACACUGACUUGCAUCCCUACAUGCUUCAGUGAUACGUGACUGGCAGGAGCUGCAAGACUGGCCAAAUGAUAAUGCUUCAGAUCUGUGCUGCACAGCCAGCAAUGGCUGCACUAGCAGCAAGGCACUGGGGAUUCAGGCUUCUUGAAGCAAAGACUUUUUUAACAGGAAGAAGAAGGAAAACCGAGAAAAAUGGAAUUUGUAAGCAAGGAAACUAAGGAAUAAUGACUUCUAACUGUUGGUACUCAGAAUACGCCUUGGAAGAACCUCAGGCUAAGAGGAAAAAAUAUUCAGAACAGGAAAAGACUGCUCUGUGAAAUUACAGAACUUCUCUCCUCUGAGUCAAAGGAGAAGUGGGGUUUGGAGGAAGGUGGAAAAGACAUGGAAAAUGUUCUUGGGAAGUCCAACAUCCUGAAGCACUGCAAAAUGAGCUGCAGCUGCUCUCCAAAGCUGAUACAAGGACACAGCAUAUCUCGGCAGCUCUCCAAAGCUCUCCAAAGCUGAUACAAGGACGCAACACAUCUCGGCAACAGAAUGCCAAUGUAAAAGUGACAUAUAUGACCAGCUGUAGUACAGAUCAACCCAGAACUGUGGCCAUUCCACAUGUUUUUUGCAGUAAAUAAAGCUUUCUGUCCCAGCAAGCUCUUCGACAUCCAGAAUUCAUCUCAGAACUUACAGAGCCCCCUUCACCAUGGUACACCAUUCCCAAC